AGCGGCGUAAGGGGCAGUAAUACCUGGGAACGUACCCGGAGGUCGGGGAUAGCUGCUGGAAACGGCGAGCAAUACCCGAUGAUCUUGGAAAAGCAAAGGCUUGCCGCCUUCGGAGCGGCCCAGGCGAUAUUAGCUAGUUGGUGAGGUAACGGCUUACCAAGGCCAAGAUGUCUAGCGGGUGUGAGAGCACGACCCGCGCCACUGGCACUGAGACACUGGCCAGACACCUACGGGUGGCUGCAGUCGAGAAUCUUCGGCAAUGAGCGCAAGCUUGACCGAGCGACGCCGCGUGCGGGAUGAAGGCCUUCGGGUUGUAAACCGCUUUGGUCCGAGAGAAAGGGCAACUUGAUCGAUCGGAGAAACAAGGACGGGCUAAGUUCGUGCCAGCAGCCGCGGUAAGACGAACCGUCCAAACGUUAUUCGGAAUCACUGGGCUUAAAGGGCGCGUAGGCGGCCGAGCGGGUCGCGGGUGAAAUCCUCCAGCUUAACUGGAGAACUGCCCUCGAUACCACUGCGGCUCGAGGAAGGAAGGGGUCAUGGGAACUGUCGGUGGAGCGGUGAAAUGCGUUGAUAUCGACAGGAACGCCUGUGGCGAAAGCGCAUGACUGGUCCUUUCUUGACGCUGAGGCGCGAAAGCCAGGGGAGCAAACGGGAUUAGAUACCCCGGUAGUCCUGGCCUUAAACGAUGAGAACUAGGUAG
rnacentral:rRNA from 1 species